CAAAGAUGGAGAUUAGGUUUUCUGAUGUGAUGCACAAGGAUUUGUAGAUCUUUUCAAGUGUAGUGCAACGAAAACUAUUAUUUCAUCGAAAUGGAACAUCAGUUUUCGAGAAAAGGAUUUGAUGCACAAACAGAACCAAAACUCUAAGGCAUUUUUUUGUCGAAGCAAUUAUGGUUCUGAACAUAUGCUUCGUAUGUUUAACAGUAAUGGCUAUACUCAACUAGAAACACAAGUUUUACAAGCUUCCAAGUUGGAGAUCGGAGAGGGGAGAACUUCAAACCAAGAAACUGG